UACGUAGGGUGCAGGCGUUAAUCGGAAUUACUGGGCGUAAAGCGUGCGCAGGCGGUCUUUUAAGUCAGAUGUGAAAUCCCCGGGCUUAACCUGGGAACUGCGUUUGAAACUGAAAGGCUAGAGUGUGGCAGAGGGGGGUGGAAUUCCGCGUGUAGCAGUGAAAUGCGUAGAGAUGCGGAGGAACACCGAUGGCGAAGGCAGCCCCCUGGGCCAACACUGACGCUCAGGCACGAAAGCGUGGGGAGCAAACAGG
rnacentral:rRNA from 1 species